rnacentral:ncRNA from 1 species
CUACGGACUUGAUUGUAUUGAGCCUUGGUAUGGAAACCUGCUAAGUGGUAACUUCCAAAUUCAGAGAAACCCUGGAAUGAAAAAUGGGCAAUCCUGAGCCAAAUCCCUUUUUUGAAAAACAAGUGUUCUCAAACUAGAACGGGGAUCACUGGGGUAGAUGGCAACCUCACGUGCUGAUUUUCCCCGAAAUAGGAGAAAAAUGCCUCACGAACAUUCUCCACCGACCAUUCCAUCCACCAUGAUAAUGUAGCCAUCAAUAUGGACUAGAGAACAGCAAAAAAAAAGGAUGCAGAUGAAG